rnacentral:misc_RNA from 1 species
GCCGGGAGAUCUACACAGAGACGGCGUACCGCGACAUUGUAUCGUUGGCAGGCCUCACCGUUUUCAAGAAGCGUGGCACACACACGCACACACACACAAGCACGCACACAUACAAGUAGGCAUAGAGCUAUAGAGCAGCGCACGCCGAGAGGGAGAGACAAGGUUUGAGUUUGACGGAGCUGGUCAGCUGUAGUCGGAGAGGGCUCCUGACCUCCCCACCCCCACCCGCCACCGCCCUCGGCACCCCGGCGACUCAGCGGCUUUCGUUUUUCGUUCAUCACAUCCGUGUAGCGCACACACGCACACACACAAACCUCAACACACAGAGAAAUGGCGGCGGUGUCUACAUCGGCGACUGGCACGGCGAACCCCGUGCCGAGUCGCAGCGAGCUGUGGGCAGACAAGUACAAGCCGCGCUCCAUUGCCGAGAUGUGCUACCCGGUCUGCGCGAACAAGCUAAAGGCGUGGCUGGAGACCUUCACACCGAUCGGUAGCCCCGGCGAUGAUCCGAAGAAGCCGCAUGGCGUUCUCCUGUCCGGGUCUCCAGGUGUGGGCAAGACGACGACAGUGUACGUGGUAGCGCACGAACUCGGCCGCACCGUUGUGGAGUACAACGCGAGCGACUUCCGCAGCCGCAAGUCGCUCAAGGAGAAUGUGUCGGACCUCAUCAGCAACCGCGCCUUUUCCGUGAGCGCGACGUCGUACACGAACGUGAUUCUGUUAAUGGACGAGGUGGACGGCUGCGACAUUGGCGGUGUCGGCGAGGUGAUCGAGAUGCUCAAGUCCACCCGCAUCCCGAUCCUGUGCACGUGCAACGAUCGCUGGCACCCCAAGCUGCGCUCGCUGCUCAACUACGUGGAGGACAUGCGCUUUAGCCACCCACCGUGCAACAUCGUGGCGAACUACCUUUGCGACCGUGUCCUGGCGCGCGAGGGUAUUUCGCUCUCCAAGCCGCUCCUGCAGGAUAUUAUCAAGAACUCCGGCAGCGACAUCCGCAACAUGCUCAACAACCUGCAGCUCUGGUGCCUGAGCCGCACCUCGCUCGAGCAGCGGCAGCUGGCCGAGUGCGCCGCGCAGUCGACGAAGGACAGCGAUGCCGGCCUCUUCGACGCCGCUGAGUACUUCUUGCUGCAGGGCACGUCGCGUGGGGAGCGGCACUCCAUCGCGGAGAUGCAGGCCUGCUACUACAACGCCGACCUAGUCGACAUGUUUGUGCAGGAGAACUACCUGCACUACAACCCGCAGCCGGUGGAUGGGAGGGAUUGGAUGGAGGCUGUCUCACAGGCUGCCACAUCGAUCUCGCGGUCGGACGCGGCGCAGAGCAUCAUGUAUUAUCAACAGAACUGGUCCGUGUCCCGCUUCCACGUCUUGUCCUCCAGCAUUGCCCCAUGUGUGUACACGCGCGGCAAGUACGAGACCUUCAUGACGGGGCAGCAGAAGUUCUUCGACAUGCAGCGACCGGUGAAGUUCCCGACGUGGCUUGGGCACAACUCCUCCGCGAACAAGAAUCGCCGUCUGCUGCGCUGCAUCGCCAUGCAGGCGUCGCACCCGGCGAAGGGCGUGUCAGGGAGCCAAGAGGAUGUGGUGGCGGACUACAUACCGCACGGCUGGGAGCGCCCGCUGACGGCGCCGCUGGCGACGAAGGGGAAGGACGGCGUUGCCGAGGUCAUCGCCUUCAUGGAUCAGUACCACCUCAUGCGCGAUGACUGGGACCUCGUGCAAGCGUUGCCACACUACAAGCACAUGCAGUCGCCGAGCCCCACGACGCCGCCGGCCAACAUCGCCACCGCCGUCAAGAGCGCCUUCACGCGUGAGUUCAACAAGACGCAUCGCUUUGACAGCUUCGCGAAGAGCACGCUGAAGCGCGGCGAUGGGGAGACGCAAGACGACGACGAGGGCGAUCCGGGCAACGGCGCCGGUGGCAAUCGCAAGGCUGGCAAGGUGGUCGCGGACGGCGUGACGGCUGUGAGCGUCACAGGCAGCAGUGACGCUGCUGCCACGAAGAAGAAAGGCAAAGCGGCUGUGGGCGCUGCCACCACAUCGACGACGGCAGCCGCGGCACGCAAGCCACGGGCCAAGAAGAGCGCCCCGGCUGACGGGGCUGCCAGGCCGACGGCGAAGAAGAAGGCCGCCACCAGCUCAACGCGGGCCACGGCCAAGGCAUCGACGGCGAAGACAACAGCAAAGCGAAAACGCGCGCGCGCGGCGUCCUCGGAGAGUGAGACAGAGAGCGUGUCGUCAUCACCAUCGUCGUCCUCCUCCUCAUCUGCGUCCUCUUCGAGCAGCAGCAGUGAUGUCUCCGACAGUGAGUAGAGAAAAGGGCGUUGGAGGCGGUCUGAAGCGUGGCACUCACCCCCCCCCAUCGAAGAGAAGCGUGCCUCAGCUUCAUCGCCGAUUCAGGAAAAAGGUGUGUGUGUGUGUGUGUGUGUGCUUGCCUUCGUCUGUGUACAUGGUGCGAUGACACCUCUUGUCAACUGCCUUCGUCUGUGUCACCGUUGGCCGCGAUGUGGUGUAGUGGAAUGGGGGGGGUGCUGCAAUCGCCCUCUUGGCGUUGAUCUUGUUGCGGGGUGCCGCAGGCAGCAAGCAAAGAAAAGCAAACUACUCUUGGGCGUAACGCUUGAUUCGCAUAGAUUCGACCCGUGCACAGGUACAUGCAUACUCAGA